rnacentral:misc_RNA from 1 species
UCCCGCAACGAGCGCAACCCUCGUCCUAUGUUGCCAGCGAAUUAUGUCGGGGACUCAUAGGAGACUGCCGGGGUCAACUCGGAGGAAGGUGGGGAUGACGUCAAGUCAUCAUGCCCCUUACGUCUUGGGCUGCACACAUGCUACAAUGGCCGGUACAAAGGGCUGCGAUGCCGUGAGGUGGAGCGAAUCCCAAAAAGCCGGUCUCAGUUCGGAUCGGGGUCUGCAACUCGACCCCGUGGAGUCGGAGUCGCUAGUAAUCGCAGAUCAGCAAUGCUGCGGUGAAUACGUUCCCGGGCCUUGUACACACCGCCCGUCACGUCACGAAAGUCGGUAACACCCGAAGCCGGUGGCCUAACCCUUGUGGGAGGAGCCGUCGAAGGUGGGACCGGCGAUUGGGACGAAGUCGUAACAAGGUAGCCGUACCGGAAGGUGCGGCUGGAUCACCUCCUUUCUAAGGAGCGUCUGGCUGCUCGUGGUCCUGUUCUCUUCGGGGGGUGGGUGCGGGUGGUCCAGGGCCAGGGCCGGGCGAGUGUCCCGGUCUGGUUGCUCGAGGGCGUGGAACACUGACAUGUGGUCUGCCGAUUCUGUCCGGCUCCUAGUACAG